AUUGUGGGCACUCCUGUUUAAAAGAGUGUUAUAAGUGAAUAUAAUCACCAAUUAAGUGGUCGGUUUUGUUAAAAUGUAGAUGAGUAUGCACAAGAGAAGGCUGAUCAAAUAUGCACUACAGUGAAUGCAACAAAUAAUUACUGUAUUUUUCAACUCAUGCAGAUAAAGAACCUCUGAACCAGCAAUUGGACUCCAGUUUUUAUUUAUUACACAACAUAACGCAGAGUCGUAGCCGAGUUGUGGUAACAGAGACACGCGAGCCCGAACCGGCUACAUAAGUAAGGAAUAACAAUAUACAAAUUGAAAAUUUUAUGUGCAGUUAUAUUACAAUAGACAGUUUUGUAUGUACAGGUAUAUUAUGUGCAAAUUUGAAGUGUAGACUACGUAUGUGUGUUAGAUAAAUAAGUGUAUAAAUAGUGUUGUGUGUUCCAUAGUUUUUGUCAAGUGUUCAUGAGAUGGAUUGCCUGGG
ensembl:lncRNA